AAUUGGGGUGCCUUAACUUUACGGCUGAGAUCAUACCCAUUGAACCUGAUCCGGGUAAUACCGGCGUAGUGAAUUAUU
rnacentral:ncRNA from 1 species